rnacentral:rRNA from 1 species
AUUGAACGCUGGCGGCAGGCCUAACACAUGCAAGUCGAACGGUAACAGGAAGAAGCUUGCUUCUUUGCUGACGAGUGGCGGACGGGUGAGUAAUGUCUGGGAAACUGCCUGAUGGAGGGGGAUAACUACUGGAAACGGUAGCUAAUACCGCAUAACGUCGCAAGACCAAAGAGGGGGACCUUCGGGCCUCUUGCCAUCGGAUGUGCCAGGUGGGAUUAGCUAGUAGGUGGGGUAACGGCUCACCUAGGCGACGAUCCCUAGCUGGUCUGAGAGGAUGACCAGCCACACUGGAACUGAGACACGGUCCAGACUCCUACGGGAGGCAGCAGUGGGGAAUAUUGCACAAUGGGCGCAAGCCUGAUGCAGCCAUGCCGCGUGUAUGAAGAAGGCCUUCGGGUUGUAAAGUACUUUCAGCGGGGAGGAAGGGAGUAAAGUUAAUACCUUUGCUCAUUGACGUUACCCGCAGAAGAAGCACCGGCUAACUCCGUG